AUGACGAUAUUUUGUUUAACAUGAUGAAUCCGAGUGCAUUUGGCUCUAGACUUUCUGUCGAUGUGGAAAAACCCUAGCUACCUUACUUUUCUUUGUCUGAGA
rnacentral:snoRNA from 1 species